AUGAACGCUGGCGGCGUGCCUAAUACAUGCCAGUCGAGCGAACAGAUGAGGAGCUUGCUCCUCUGACGUUAGCGGCGGACGGGUGAGUAACACGUGGAUAACCUACCUAUAAGACUGGGAUAACUUCGGGAAACCGGAGCUAAUACCGGAUAAUAUAUUGAACCGCAUGGUUCAAUAGUGAAAGACGGUUUUGCUGUCACUUAUAGAUGGAUCCGCGCCGCAUUAGCUAGUUGGUAAGGUAACGGCUUACCAAGGCAACGAUGCGUAGCCGACCUGAGAGGGUGAUCGGCCACACUGGAACUGAGACACGGUCCAGACUCCUACGGGAGGCAGCAGUAGGGAAUCUUCCGCAAUGGGCGAAAGCCUGACGGAGCAACGCUGCGUGAGUGAUGAAGGUCUUCGGAUCGUAAAACUCUGUUAUUAGGGAAGAACAAAUGUGUAAGUAACUAUGCACGUCUUGACGGUACCUAAUCAGAAAGCCACGGCUAACUACGUG
rnacentral:rRNA from 1 species